rnacentral:rRNA from 1 species
UAGGGAAUCUUCGGCAAUGGACGAAAGUCUGACCGAGCAACGCCGCGGGAGUGAAGAAGGCUUUCGGAUCGUAAAACUCUGUUGUUAGAGAAGAACAAGGACGUUAGUAACUGAACGUCCCCUGACGGUAUCUAACCAGAAAGCCACGGCUAACUACGUGCCAGCAGCCGCGGUAAUACGUAGGUGGCAUGCGUUGUCCGGAUUUAUUGGGCGUAAAGCGAGCGCAGGCGGGUUCUUAAGUCUGAUGUGAAAGCCCCCGGCUCAACCGGGGAGGGUCAUUGGAAACUGGGAGACUUGAGUGCAGAAGAGGAGAGUGGAAUUCCAUGUGUAGCGGUGAAAUGCGUAGAUAUAUGGAGAAACACCAGUGGCGAAGGCGGCUCUCUGGUCUGUAACUGACGCUGAGGCUCGAAAGCGUGGGGAGCAAACAGG